UACAGAGGGGGCAAGCGUUGUUCGGAAUUACUGGGCGUAAAGGGCGCGUAGGCGGCCUUCUAAGUCGAACGUGAAAUCCCCGGGCUCAACCCGGGAACUGCGUCCGAUACUGGAGGGCUUGAAUCCGGGAGAGGGAUGUGGAAUUCCGGGUGUAGCGGUGAAAUGCGUAGAUAUCUGGAGGAACACCGGUGGCGAAGGCGACAUCCUGGACCGGUAUUGACGCUGAGGCGCGAAAGCCAGGGGAGCAAACGGG
rnacentral:rRNA from 1 species